AACAACAGUAAGACAGUCUUACAAUAUAACAUCCAUUCCUACAACAUACUGCAUUUCUGAAUUUUGAUGCUAAAAAUACAUUGCUCUCGGGCUCCUUAAUCCUCCCCAUCUAGGCCUACUGUGAGGUCAAACCUUCAAUGGUUUAAGCAACAGCACGAAAAUGACCUGCAAACAACUGCGCUAAAGCAAUAACUACAAAGCAUACCCAUGCAAUUCCCUCAACUACAUAUGGACUAAUAGGAUUAUAGAAAUAUAGAGAUCAGUGUAAUCCUUGCUCAAUCAAAACAGUGUAACCAGAGGGCGACAUCGGCACAACGUCUUAAUAAUGCAUAAAAGUUAACAAACAAUGUAAGAAAGCAGACUGUUGUGGAGAUAAAAUUGUAGCACCUGACCAUCCUUGUAGAUCCAGAAUAAAUGCACCUAUUCUAUUCUAUCACCAAGUUACUAAAGCCCAAAGAAGAAAGUGGAAAGAAUAACUGCAGCCAACUGUAAUACAUUGAUUGGAUG
rnacentral:lncRNA from 1 species